rnacentral:rRNA from 1 species
UACGAAGGGGGCUAGCGUUGCUCGGAAUCACUGGGCGUAAAGCGCACGUAGGCGGCUUGUUAAGUCAGGGGUGAGAUCCUGGAGCUCAACUCCAGAACUGCCUUUGAUACUGGCGAGCUUGAGUUCGGGAGAGGUGAGUGGAACUGCGAGUGUAGAGGUGAAAUUCGUAGAUAUUCGCAAGAACACCAGUGGCGAAGGCGGCUCACUGGCCCGAUACUGACGCUGAGGUGCGAAAGCGUGGGGAGCAAACAGG